GGUUAACCCCGACUAGGCGAUGAGACCCUCUGGACUGGAGCACCCCAGGACUGGGGCCAGACCACCACCGGUGAUUUGCUGACAGUGCUUUUCUGGAAAGCCAGAAUUCUGGGCACCAAAGAUGGAUGGAACACAGGCCCUGCCCUCCGGGAGCUCGCGAUCUAGAUCUGGGUUGUCUAUCUAACCCAGGUUAGAGCUGCGGCUGCCUGGAGAGUUUGUUUUGCUGCUUGAGCUGAUGGUCCAGGGAUAAGAGGACAGUGGAAGGCAGGAAGGGGGUUCCGUUUUCUCAGGAAGGGUAACACCUGUGCAGACUUCAGGGGUGAGAGGCCAGAGCUUAGAGUUGCCGGGGCUAGAGGUGAUGUGCUAGAAGGAGGCAGGUGCUGGGUUCUGAAGACCCUCCUAACAUUCGCCCUGUCCCGAAACUACGGGGCAAAGUGGAGCAUGUCAGAGGAAAGAGAAAUCACCAGGUCUGUGAUAUAGGAUGACCCCUUGGACAGCCAAGUGGAGGCUUGACAGUGGGAUAAAAUCUGGAGGUAGAACCCCCAAUUUGCCCAAUUUGCAGGCUGAUCCUGACGAUGAAUGUCACAGGCUUAGACUGGGGCAGUGGCAGCAGGGACAGAGGAGGGGGCUGACUUGAGAGACGGUUUGGGAGCCAGGAUCAUGGAAUUUUGUGCCUAUUUGAGUCUGGGAGAUAAGGGAGCAAAGAAUGUCAAGGUUGGAGCCCCUGGUGUGAUAGACCAAGCUAGAAGCUUCUUCGGGUUGCCUUGAUUCAUACAACCUCCUUUUAUUGGUUGUGUGACCUUGGGCAAAUGACAACCUUCCGGAGCCUCGUUUUGCAAUCUGUAAAACAAAGAUACUGAAAUCGAUCUUGCGUGGUCAUUGUAUAUAUUAAAGAUAAUGUAUGCCAAGGCGUAGGGCUUAACUCGUAACAGGAAUUCAAUAAAUAGUAGAUGUAAUUAUGAUUGUUUCUCCUUUCCACAAACAUUUGUUGAGCACCUGAUAUGUGCCACGGAUUGUCCUAGAUCUUUGGGACGUAAGUCUCAUUCCCUAGUCACGUGUAGCUCACCAUCUAGUGGGAGAGAGCUAUGCAGAGGAUAGCCAUAUAGCCAAGCAAUACGGGCUGGUAUGGGCUGGGGCAGAGGAGGAAACUGUGCCCAAAGAAUCAAGGACAACUUCACCGAGGAGAGAUGACAGCUUAAACCACGUAGGGCCAGCUAUCGGCUCAGAGGCUACCAUAUCGCCCCCGUCUCCCAGACAAUGGAUUGUGUUUCAGAAUCUGAAAUGUUCCGUUUUGAAGGCAUUUGACAUGCUCCUCGGGGUUGGGAGAAGGGGGUGGACUACAGAUGAGUGUCUAUAUGAACCCAGGGAGUGGUACAUAGAACCUUGGCAACCCCAGGUCAGGGCAUGAGCAGAUGGGCAGACAGAAGAGGGGGACCAGGUAAGCGUGAACGUGGGCACGUGGCUGGAGCUUGCUAGCUGGGUAGGAGCCUAUAUGUGUGUGCACUUGGGCCGUCCUGAUUUUUCUGCUCCUUGUCUGUACCCUUCUAAAAAUUCCUUGCAAAACCAUUUGGUGUCCUCAGCCUGCCUCCCAUGCCAAUUUUCUUUCCAUCCAUCUCUUAACGAGCCCAGCUUGGUAGAAGCCGCGCUCCCUGGUCCUCCACUAAGGAAGGACUCCUGCCUUGCUGUCCCACCAAGCAAGACUCUGGGCUUUCCAGCUAGAUGGACUGUUGUUACAUCUCCGAUUUUCCCAUCUGUGACAUGGAGAUAGUAACAGUCCCCGUCUUGUGGAGCCGUUGUGAGGUUUCAAUGUGACGUGAAACUUGGUGGACAGGGGAUGCUUAUUUCCCUUCUCUGCCCAGUAACUGCCUCCUUGCAGAGGGUCAGACGAGACUGUCAGCUGGGGAUGUCCCCUGGCACACCGGCCUCUGGGGCCCCACGCUAUAGGCCUUCUCCUCUGCUGGCCUAAAUGGCAUCCCUGGGUGGCCCUGGUCACCCUAGGGUAUAGUGCUGGCAGGAUGACAGUAGGGGCCCAGCAGCGGCCCAGCCCACUCUCCCACUCCAAUCCUGUCUCUCCUCCCUGCUGCCGAUCACAUGCCACUGCUCUGCAGAUAGGACAGGCGUCCCUGGGCGCCCGAGGGCUGGCGGGGAAGCUGGAAACAGCUCUCCCUCACAGACUGUGUGGGCAGUGCAUUCGAAUAGCUUCUGAAAAACCAAAGUUCAAGCCCGCCCUACUUUCCCCUGGGAGGCUCAGCAUCCAGACAGGGAGACCGGCCAACGGAGAAUCUCCUUUCUGCACGUUGCUGCAAACUCUCCUCCCUUCUGGUGCUACCCACACAUGCGACACAGUCUCCAAAAGCACUGCAGGGACACUUGGGAGGCCCGGAGACCCGACUCUGCCCCUAAGGUGCCAAGAGCCGUUUCGUUUAUCUGGGCCUCAGUUUGCCUCCUCUGAAUAAUGGGGAAUGAUGUGAGUGCUGCCGCUCCGGAGGGUUAAAUGAGAGUGUGAAUGCGAAAGUUUACUUUGUGAAAACACCUGCCUGUGUAUGAGAUCAUUAGUGUUUGGCCAAAGAGACCUUCUUAGGGUUCUCAGGAGACAAGUGAAGACAAGAGAAAUGGGAAACUCAGAACAGAGAGAAGUCUUCCCCAAGGACGUCUGUGACCUCAGCAGGAGGAGGGAGAAUGGCAACACGGAGCCUGGCCCAUGGACCACCCUGCUGUGGGCUAGCUCCUUACGAGUGUGUGAGUCCGUAGGGGCGGCAGGACGUGGCCUUGGUCAGCCGAUGCUUACUCCUCCCCUGAAGAAACUCAGACCAUUGUUUUCCAGUGACUUAUGGAGAGUGAGGGUGACUAGGGUCAGUGUCAUUUACCUGGUUCCAGUGUGAUGCCACUACAGAGCCCGGGAGCUGCCACUUUGUCACUGCACCAGGCAUCACGUCCUCUCCUCACUGCUUGUGCUAAAUGCACGGGCGCACAUGUACUCGUGCGUGUGUGUGAACACACACACACGCACACACACCCCAUGCACAACCACUCCAGACUUCCGAUGGAACAACAGCUGCGCCCCCAGAAGGUUCUAGAACAGGGUAGGCAUGUAAACAGAGUAAGCCAAUCACAGCCCUGUUGACCCUAGCAACCAUCAACCCGACUAGAACCCCCACCCCCACCCCGAGUCCGGCAGUGCCUCCCAAACACACCAUAUACACACACAACCUUCAGGUUGCUGCAUUGCCAUGGCAACGAAACCAUCACACAAAGCAGGGAAAAUGGGAAAGUGGCCCUUAGCAACAAGACCGGACCAGUCAUUGGGGUGAGCACGCCAGCAGCACUGGCUAGCGUGAGGUCACGGUGCGGAGAGGGUCCCCAUGCAGGGAGGGGAGGAAAAGAGGGCUGGUGUGUCUGGACUUCGAAGCCCAGUUUUUAGCCCUGGGCCUCCGCUCGCUCACCUUUGACCUGUAGGGCCGCAGACGCCUUCUUGUAUUUUAGUGUAUCCCCAGCGUGUGCCUGUAUUAUCGCGUUGCAAUUACUUUUUAACCAAUAAAUAAGGAUAGGAACUAUAGGUGAUCUUUUCAGAAAACCUCCAGAAUGUUGAGACUCCUGGGGAAAAGAAGACUUCCGAUUGAUCCUCAGAGAGACCCUAAAAUCCAGCUCGUGAGUUCCUCGUAGAGUUGGGCCUCGAUUCAGUUUGUAAACAUUUCCUUGGUAUCUACCCUGUGCCAGGCCGGGUCAGCCAGGCCCUGACGUCAGCCGUGGCUGGGUGGGCUGGGCGGGGCCUGCAGAACGUAUCGGGUGGUGAGAGCGUCCUGGAGGUCUGUCGGGAAGUCUGGAGCAGGUGCUUAUACGAACAGCAGGCUGCCUGCAGGAGAUUUUGCUCCGGGCCAAGGGAGAGGGCUGAAGCUGGGACCCUGCGGGCGCCCUUGGCGAACUGGCUUCUGACGUCCAUGCCUCAUCAUCCUCCCUUCAGCCAGCUACCAGAGAGACCUUAAUUCAAAAUGAAAAUUUGACAAUGGGCUCCUCUGCCCAGCUUCUUCUUCCCGUGGCUCCCCAACAGCCUUGGGUCCCCUCCUUCAGAAUCUGACGACAGCUGAGAGACUCCCUUCCUAGCAUCCAAAACAUACAUGCCCAGCAUUUUCCAUUCAUUUUGGGGAGCUACGGGCCUCUUCAAGCUCCUUCAUGGACUUGAUUGGGGGGGAAUAGCAUGUGAAGGCCCCUGCGGCCAGCCUCUGCCUCCCUCAUCAGCUCACUUGGCUUGCCCCGCCCCCACCCCCGGUAUAUAACAGGCCACACCAAACAAUGUGCACUCCCCUUGCGGGCACCGCCAUACUGGCCUGCUUCAUGCCUUUGUGCCUGUGUUCCCACCAACUGGAGAGGCCUCGUCCUUCACCUGUUACCUGGUAAACUCCUAUUCAUGCUUCAAAACCCUGUUCAGGAGUCAACACCUCAUAGUUUUUGAUGCUGACCAGACAGGCUUGAUCACUCCGUGGUCUGAAGUACUCUCAUUACCUGUCUCCCACUACAUGGGGGAUCUGUGUCUGUCUUCUUUAUCGAGCUUUGAGUUUCCUGAGGCCACACACCACUUCUUAGCCUUUAUGUCCCUAGUUCCUAGCAUGUAAUAGGUCUGGGGAACCAAAAUAGCAGGACCAAGUUGGCAGAGGAAACAGAGCUGACAAAGGAGG